UCCGGUUUGUCACCGGCAGUCUCACUAGAGUGCCCAACUAAAUGUAGCAACUAAUGACAAGGGUUGCGCUCGUUGCGGGACUUAACCCAACAUCUCACGACACGAGCUGACGACAACCAUGCACCACCUGUAUACGAGUGUCCAAAGAGUUCUUCAUUUCUGAAGCGUUCUCGUAUAUGUCAAGCCUUGGUAAGGUUCUUCGCGUUGCAUCGAAUUAAACCACAUGCUCCACCGCUUGUGCAGGCCCCCGUCAAUUUCUUUGAGUUUUAACCUUGCGGCCGUACUCCCCAGGCGGAUGACUUAACGCUUUCGCUCAGACGCGUACAGUGUAUCGCACACAUCGAGUGAUCAUCGUUUAGGGCGUGGACUAC
rnacentral:misc_RNA from 1 species